AGCGCAGGCGGGAAGACAAGUUGGAAGUGAAAACCAUGGGCUCAACCCAUGAAUUGCUUUCAAAAACCGUUUUUCUUGAGUAGUGCAGAGGUAGAUGGAAUUCCCGGUGUAGCGGUGGAAUGCGUAGAUAUCGGGAGGAACACCAGUGGCGAAGGCGGUCUACUGGGCACCAACUGACGCUGAGGCUCGAAAGCAUGGGUAGCAAACA
rnacentral:rRNA from 1 species